GACCGCGUAGCUCAGUUGGCAGAGCAUUGGGCUAGUAUUCCAAAGGUCGUAGGUUCGAUUCCCACCGAGGUCA